rnacentral:rRNA from 2 species
UAGGGAAUCUUCCACAAUGGACGCAAGUCUGAUGGAGCAACGCCGCGUGAGUGAAGAAGGUUUUCGGAUCGUAAAGCUCUGUUGUUGGUGAAGAAGGAUAGAGGCAGUAACUGGUCUUUAUUUGACGGUAAUCAACCAGAAAGUCACAGCUAACUACGUGCCAGCAGCCGCGGUAAUACGUAGGUGGCAAGCGUUGUCCGGAUUUAUUGGGCGUAAAGCGAGCGCAGGCGGAAUGAUAAGUCUGAUGUGAAAGCCCACGGCUCAACCGUGGAACUGCAUCGGAAACUGUCAUUCUUGAGUGCAGAAGAGGAGAGUGGAAUUCCAUGUGUAGCGGUGGAAUGCGUAGAUAUAUGGAAGAACACCAGUGGCGAAGGCGGCUCUCUGGUCUGCAACUGACGCUGAGGCUCGAAAGCAUGGGUAGCGAACAGG